ACCGGCAGCUCAAGUGGUGGCCAUUUUUAUUGGGCCUAAAGCGUUCGUAGCCGGUUUGAUAAGUCUCUGGUGAAAUCCCGCAGCUUAACUGUGGGACUUGCUGGAGAUACUAUUAGACUUGAGGUCGGGAGAGGUUAGGGGUACUCCCAGGGUAGCGGUGAAAUGCUAAAAUCCUGGGAGGACCACCUGUUGCGAAGGCGCCUAACUGGAACGAUACUGACGCUGAGUAACGAAAGCGAGGGGCGCGAACGG
rnacentral:rRNA from 1 species